rnacentral:tRNA from 1 species
UGUUCUGUGGCUUAGUUGGUUAAAGCGCCGGUCUAGUGAACACGGAGUCGUGGGUUCGAAUCCCACCAGAACGC